UACGUAGGGGGCAAGCGUUGUCCGGAUUUAUUGGGCGUAAAGAGCGUGUAGACGGUUUGGUAGGUCCGCUGUGAAAACUCGAGGCUCAACCUCGAGACGCCGGUGGAAACCAUCAGGCUAGAGUCCGGAAGAGGAGAGUGGAAUUCCUGGUGUAGCGGUGAAAUGCGCAGAUAUCAGGAAGAACACCCGUGGCUAAGGCGGCUCUCUAGUACGGUACUGACGCUGAGACGCGAAAGCGUGGGGGAGCGAACAGG
rnacentral:rRNA from 1 species